rnacentral:misc_RNA from 1 species
AACGGUCUAUACCUGCGGUACCUGCGGAAGGAUCAUUAACGAGUUUUGAAGUGGGAUUGACGCUGGCCUUCCGAGGCAUGUGCUCGUCCUCGCUCAUCCACUCACAACACCUGUGCACUGUUGAGGUGUGGCCCCCCUUUUCAAUGGAGCCGUUCCCCCUUCGAAAGGAGGGGUCGAGCCGGGGUCAGGCCUUCUUCGUCACAAACAACUUGUAAUGUCUAUUCGGAAUGUAAUGCUUCA